GGAGCAAACAGGAUUAGAUACCCUGGUAGUCCACGCCGUAAACGAUGUCGAUUUGGAGGUUGUGCCCUUGAGGCGUGGCUUCCGGAGCUAACGCGUUAAAUCGACCGCCUGGGGAGUACGGCCGCAAGGUUAAAACUCAAAUGAAUUGACGGGGGCCCGCACAAGCGGUGGAGCAUGUGGUUUAAUUCGAUGCAACGCGAAGAACCUUACCUGGUCUUGACAUCCACAGAACUUAGCAGAGAUGCNUUGGUGCCUUCGGGAACUGUGAGACAGGUGCUGCAUGGCUGUCGUCAGCUCGUGUUGUGAAAUGUUGGGUUAAGUCCCGCAACGAGCGCAACCCUUAUCCUUUGUUGCCAGCGGUCCGGCCGGGAACUCAAAGGAGACUGCCAGUGAUAAACUGGAGGAAGGUGGGGAUGACGUCAAGUCAUCAUGGCCCUUACGACCAGGGCUACACACGUGCUACAAUGGCAUAUACAAAGAGAAGCGACCUCGCGAGAGCAAGCGGACCUCAUAAAGUAUGUCGUAGUCCGGAUUGGAGUCUGCAACUCGACUCCAUGAAGUCGGAAUCGCUAGUAAUCGUAGAUCAGAAUGCUACGGUGAAUACGUUCC
rnacentral:rRNA from 1 species